rnacentral:lncRNA from 1 species
CUUCACAGCUCUCCCAUGGAGCAUACUAAAUGGUGAGAUUCUUUACAGUAUCUAGGGAAAAUGCAGCAGGAUAGAAGUCCAAGUCAAUAUCCAAAAUGAAAUUGUUUUCAAAGACACAAUCAACCUUGAUGGAAUCAGUGAGAGCCCAAGCACUCUUGCUAUGACUAUUUUCAUAAUCAGGACAUGGAAUGCAACAAUAUGGAAAUCUGAGUGAUGCCAAACCAAGCUACUGUCAGCUGGUGAGUGAAAGAAGCGUAAAGGAUUCAUUCCACAUUCAUGCUCAGAUGACAGAGAAUGAAGAAUAUAGCAGUAGUGGUGGAGAUGGAGGCAGUGAAGAGGACUUUUCUACAAACACCAAAGCUGUGAGCAGAAAGACUAUCUGGUCAUCAAACUUUCAUACAUCAGCUUGGCCUAACCCAAGAUGAUCCACAGUGGUCUGGAGAGUGAUGAUAUGCAGUGAGAUGAUGUGCUAGACAUCACUUCAGAUGACUAUGACCUCCCUUACUAUCAUAUUGCAGAUUUCCCCCUUGACCUCUAGAGCCCAAGGGUGCACUGGGCCCAGGUGUCCAUAUGAACUUCUCUGCCCCAGCCGAGGGGCAGUCUGUCUUAAAGACAAAAGGUGCCG